CUGCAUAAGCGAUAGAAGCGGCAUCCUUUUUUUUGCGCUGGCAAAUAAGACGUUUUUGUAAUUAAAAGCACUGGCAAAAAAAAGAUAUAGCGGAUAGCGCGACCGACG
rnacentral:sRNA from 1 species